rnacentral:rRNA from 1 species
UGGGGAAUAUUGCGCAAUGGGGGGAACCCUGACGCAGCCAUGCCGCGUGAAUGAAGAAGGCCUUCGGGUUGUAAAGUUCUUUCGGUAUUGAGGAAGGUUGAUGUGUUAAUAGCACAUCAAAUUGACGUUAAAUACAGAAGAAGCACCGGCUAACUCCGUGCCAGCAGCCGCGGUAAUACGGAGGGUGCGAGCGUUAAUCGGAAUAACUGGGCGUAAAGGGCACGCAGGCGGUUAUUUAAGUGAGGUGUGAAAGCCCUGGGCUUAACCUAGGAAUUGCAUUUCAGACUGGGUAACUAGAGUACUUUAGGGAGGGGUAGAAUUCCACGUGUAGCGGUGAAAUGCGUAGAGAUGUGGAGGAAUACCGAAGGCGAAGGCAGCCCCUUGGGAAUGUACUGACGCUCAUGUGCGAAAGCGUGGGGAGCAAACAGGAUUAGAUACCCUGGUAGUCCACGCUGUAAACGCUGUCGAUUUGGGGGUUGGGGUUUAACUCUGGCGCCCGUAGCUAACGUGAUAAAUCGACCGCCCGGGGAGUACGGCCGCAAGGUUA